AAAUUGUUAAUUCGCCUCUACGCUAACGGACUGGAGUAAUUUACACGUACCUCAGUGAGAUUAAAAUAUCCAUAAAAUAUUAGAAAUUACAGAGUAUUUACAUAUAUCAACUCACCAUAGCAUCAAACAAAAUUGGCUAGAACUCUGAUAAAAGUAAAAACAGUAUGGUUCUGGCUUAUAUUUUACCUGCAGUAAUUAAAGUUUAAUCACGGCCAUUAUUCUCACCUUGCCAUGUCCAAACAAUAUCUUUAAGGGGAGGCCGUACAUCUUCUUCACAGAACUUUUUAUAUUCUAAGGUGUCUCCGGCAGAUUUUGAGAAUUCAACAAUCGCCACUUGUGGUGCAACUUCGAAAACUUCAGCCAUGACUGACAAUUUCCCUUUUCGCCCAUUCGAUGUUCCUUGCAUCUUCACCUUGAAUUCCUUAGCGGAUACAAUCUGAAAAUUCACCUUCUUCGCUAAAGAUUCGAGUUUUGACAUGAUCGUUGAAGCAGAGCAUUUCGAUGUGAAAAGAGAACCGGAUUUCUUUUUACCUUCAAAAAGGCUCGAUAAAUCGAAACCUGAAGACAUUGACGAUAUGAAUUCAAAUGCGUUGUAAAAAGGUGGGGCUGAUUUUGAUCUAGCUCCCAAACUUGGUUCUUUGGUUUCCUGUUUCUGAUCUGUGUUGUUUUCUUCGAUGGAAGAAAAAGAAGAAGAUCGAUUGAAUUCUUUGAUAAACCAAGGGACUUUUGUUACAGCUGAAAUUGUAAUUCUUUUUUCUGGAUCAGCUACUAGAAGCUUUGAUAUCAGUUUCUUAGCUUCAGGGGAAAACCAUGGAGGAAAUUCAUAUUCACCUUUAAAGACUUUUCGAUACAUCUUCAUCAAAUUCUCGUGUUUAAAUGGUAGAAAUCCAGCUAAAAGAACAUAUAAAAUAACCCCACAAGACCAAAUAUCAGAUUUAGCACCAUCAUACCCUUUUUUCCUCAAAACUUCAGGGGCAACAUAAGCUGGAGUUCCACACCGUGUAUGAAGCAAACCAUCGCUCCUCAAUUGCUCAGACAAAGCUGAUAACCCAAAAUCAGACACCUUCAAGUUUUCAUUUUCAUCAAGGAGUAAGUUCUCAGGUUUCAAAUCGCGGUGAAAUACACCGCGACUAUGGCAGAAAUCAACAGCGCUAAUCAAUUGCUGAAAGUAUUUUCUUGCAACAUCUUCCUUAAGUUUGCCAUUAGCAACUUUUGCGAAAAGCUCACCCCCUUUAACAUAUUCCAUAACUACAAAGAUUUUUUGUUUCGUAGCCAUAACUUCUUUGAUUUCCACGAUGUUUGGAUGUCGAACUAAUCGCAUGAUUGAAAUUUCUCGAAUGAUUUGCUCCAUCAUUCCUUCUCUUUUAACAUGAUCUUUGUUGAUUACUUUAAUCGCUACGCUUUCACAAGUUUUGAUAUCUCUGCUAUAAUAAACCUUUGCAAAUGUUCCUUGGCCUAAUAGCCUCCCCAUCUCGUACUUCCCGAAUAUAAUACUUCUCGAACCAUCCAUUAAAUGAUCCAUUUCUUGCUUCGAUUGAUCAAUUUGAUCUUCCAUAAAGCUGAAAAAUGGUUUAAGCAGAUGCAAGAAGUGAGGUUUAAAGAUGGAAUCUUUGUUAAUUCGAAUGGAAUAUACUUGAGAAUUGUGAAAAUGUGAAGUGGAAAAAACAGAGACUCAAAUAAAAGGA
rnacentral:misc_RNA from 1 species